rnacentral:rRNA from 1 species
GAUAAUGGAGGCAACUCUGAUCUAGCGACGCCGCGUGCAGGAAGAAGGUCUUCGGAUUGUAAACUGCUGUGGUAAGGGAAAAAUGCCAUGUAGAGUGGAAAGCUACAUGGAGGGAUGGUACUUUACUAGAAAGCCCCGGCUAACUACGUGCCAGCAGCCGCGGUAAUACGUAGGGGGCGAGCGUUACCCGGAAUCACUGGGCGUAAAGGGAGCGUAGGUGGCCUGACAUGUCAACUGUGAAAACCCGGAGCUCAACUCCGGACUUGCAGUUGAAACUGCCAGGCUUGAGGACGGUAGAGGAAGACGGAACUGCCAGUGUAGGGGUAAAAUCCUUAGAUAUUGGCAGGAACGCCGGUGACGAAGGUGGUUUUCUGGGCCGGUUCUGACACUGAUGCUCGAAAGCCAGGGGAGCGAACGGGAUUAGAUACCCCGGUAGUCCUGGCCCUAAACGAUGUUCACUAGGUGUGGGGAGCGGAAAGCUUUCCGUGCUAAAGCUAACGCAAUAAGUGAACCGCCUGGGGAGUACGCCCGCAAGGGUGAAACUCAAAGGAAUUGACGGGGGCCCGCACAAGCGGUGGAGCGUGUGGUUUAAUUCGAUGCUAAGCGAAGGACCUUACCAAGGUUUGACAUGCUGAUAGUAGUGAAUUGAAAGAGGAACGACCAC